rnacentral:pre_miRNA from 1 species
CAACUACUCCCUCUGUCCCAAAAUUCUUGUCUCAGAUUUUUCUAGAUACGGAUGUAUCUAAUACUAAAAUGUGACUUGAUACAUCCGUAUCUAGAGAAAUCUAAGACAAGAAUUUUGGGAUGGAGGGAGUACUUU